GCUCUCCCAGUCUCCCUCACUCCGCAUCUCAUCUCCAGGUCCGGCUCUCCCUCACUCGGCAGCUCAUCUCCAGUCACCGGCUCUCCCUCACUCCGCAGCUCAUCUCCAGAUUUGUGUUGGUUAGUGUGGACUGAGGCUGCUUGUGGUUUUGGGAUUCCAAUUAAAUCCAUUCU